rnacentral:rRNA from 1 species
CUUUGGUGCCUUCGGGAACUCUGAGACAGGUGCUGCAUGGCUGUCGUCAGCUCGUGUUGUGAAAUGUUGGGUUAAGUCCCGCAACGAGCGCAACCCUUAUCCUUUGUUGCCAGCGGUCCGGCCGGGAACUCAAAGGAGACUGCCAGUGAUAAACUGGAGGAAGGUGGGGAUGACGUCAAGUCAUCAUGGCCCUUACGAGUAGGGCUACACACGUGCUACAAUGGCAUAUACAAAGAGAAGCGACCUCGCGAGAGCAAGCGGACCUCAUAAAGUAUGUCGUAGUCCGGAUUGGAGUCUGCAACUCGACUCCAUGAAGUCGGAAUCGCUAGUAAUCGUGGAUCAGAAUGCCACGGUGAAUACGUUCCCGGGCCUUGUACACACCGCCCGUCACACCAUGGGAGUGGGUUGCAAAAGAAGUAGGUAGCUUAACCUUCGGGAGGGCGCUUACCACUUUGUGAUUCAUGACUGGGGUGAAGUCGUAACAAGGUAACCGUAGGGGAACCUGCGGUUGGAUCACCUCCUUACCUUAAAGAA